GGACGCAUGCUAUAAUGCAAGUCGAGCGGACAGAAGGGAGCUUGCUCCCGGAUGUUAGCGGCGGACGGAGAGAGUAACACGUGGGUAACCUGCCUGUAAGACUGGGAUAACUCCGGGAAACCGGAGCUAAUACCGGAUAGUUCCUUGAACCGCAUGGUUCAAGGAUGAAAGACGGUUUCGGCUGUCACUUACAGAUGGACCCGCGGCGCAUUAGCUAGUUGGUGAGGUAACGGCUCACCAAGGCGACGAUGCGUAGCCGACCUGAGAGGGUGAUCGGCCACACUGGGACUGAGACACGGCCCAGACUCCUACGGGAGGCAGCAGUAGGGAAUCUUCCGCAAUGGACGAAAGUCUGACGGAGCAACGCCGCGUGAGUGAUGAAGGUUUUCGGAUCGUAAAGCUCUGUUGUUAGGGAAGAACAAGUGCAAGAGUAACUGCUUGCACCAUGACGGUACCUAACCAGAAAGCCACGGCUAACUACGUGCCAGCAGCCGCGGUAAUACGUAGGUGGCAAGCGUUGUCCGGAAUUAUUGGGCGUAAAGGGCUCGCAGGCGGUUUCUUAAGUCUGAUGUGAAAGCCCCCGGCUCAACCGGGGAGGGUCAUUGGAAACUGGGAAACUUGAGUGCAGAAGAGGAGAGUGGAAUUCCACGUGUAGCGGUGA
rnacentral:rRNA from 1 species